GGGUAGGUAGCUCAGUAGGUAGAGCACUUGUUUGAAGCACAAGGUGUCGACAGUUCAAUUCUGUCCCUGCCCACCA
rnacentral:tRNA from 1 species